rnacentral:tRNA from 1 species
GAUGUCAAGAUGGUUGUCACACGCACCCGGAGACA